GAUGAACGCUGGCGGCGUGCCUAAUACAUGCAAGUCGAACGCAUUGAGAGAAGUGCUUGCACUUUUCAAUUUGAGUGGCGAACGGGUGAGUAACACGUGGGCAACCUACCUGAUAGCGGGGGAUAACGAGUGGAAACAUUCGCUAAUACCGCAUAACAAUAGAGAAGGCAUCUUCUUUAUUUAAAAGGCGCUUUCAAGCGUCACGAUCAGAUGGGCCCGCGGUGCAUUAGUUAGUUGGUGGGGUGAAGGCCUACCAAGACGAUGAUGCAUAGCCGAGUCGAGAGACUGAUCGGCCACAUUGGGACUGAGACACGGCCCAAACUCCUACGGGAGGCUGCAGUAGGGAAUCUUCCACAAUGGACGAAAGUCCGAUGGAGCAACGCCGCGUGUGUGAUGAAGGCUUUCGGGUCGUAAAGCACUGUUGUAUGGGAAGAAAUGCUAGGCUAGGAAAUGAGCUUAGUUCGACGGUACCAUACCAGAAAGGGACGGCUAAAUACGUGCCAGCCGCCGCAGUAA
rnacentral:rRNA from 1 species